rnacentral:tRNA from 1 species
AAAAAGGUAAGCUAAGUAAAGCUUUUGGGCUCAUACCCCAACUAUAGUAGUCGUACUCCUUUUUA